rnacentral:rRNA from 1 species
UGUAAGCGUAUACCAAAGUUGUUGCAGUUAAAACGCUCGUAGUCGGAAUUUGGCAGUUCCGGAUGUGUGCACGUCGUGUGCGCACUUCGCGGGGAUUGCUUUUGUGGUCUUGCGUAGGAUGAGGCACUUUUAUUAGUGAACGUCCUCACGCAACCACUUUUUACUGUGAGAAAAUCAGAGUGCUCAAAGCAGGCAUUUGCCGUGAAUGUAUUAGCAUGGAACAAUAGAAUAGGACUUGGUUCUAUUUUGUUGGUUUGUUGGGACUGAGUAAUGAUUAAGAGGGACAGUUGGGGGCAUUUGUAUUUCGGUGCUAGAGGUGGAAUUCUUAGAUUACCGAAAGACAAACUGCUGCGAAAGCGUCUGCCAAGGAUGUUUUCAUUGA